GAUGAACGCUGGCGGCGUGCCUAAUACAUGCCAGUCGAGCGAACGGACGAGAAGCUUGCUUCUCUGAUGUUAGCGGCGGACGGGUGAGUAACACGUGGAUAACCUACCUAUAAGACUGGGAUAACUUCGGGAAACCGGAGCUAAUACCGGAUAAUAUUUUGAACCGCAUGGUUCAAAAGUGAAAGACGGUCUUGCUGUCACUUAUAGAUGGAUCCGCGCUGCAUUAGCUAGUUGGUAAAGUAACGGCUUACCAAGGCAACGAUGCAUAGCCGACCUGAGAGGGUGAUCGGCCACACUGGAACUGAGACACGGUCCAGACUCCUACGGGAGGCAGCAGUAGGGAAUCUUCCGCAAUGGGCGAAAGCCUGACGGAGCAACGCCGCGUGAGUGAUGAAGGUCUUCGGAUCGUAAAGCUCUGUUAUUAGGGAAGAACAUAUGUGUAAGUAACUGUGCACAUCUUGACGGUACCUAAUCAGAAAGCCACGGCUAACUACGUG
rnacentral:rRNA from 1 species